CCUGGGAACUGCGUUNUGAACUGGGUGACUAGAGUGUNUCAGAGGGAGGUAGAAUUCCACGUGUAGCAGUGAAAUGCGUAGAGAUGUGGAGGAAUACCGAUGGCGAAGGCAGCCUCCUGGGAUAACACUGACGUUCAUGCCCGAAAGCGUGGGUAGCAAACAGGAUUAGAUACCCUGGUAGUCCACGCCCUAAACGAUGUCGAUUAGCUGUUGGGCAGCAUGACUGCUUAGUAGCGAAGCUAACGCGUGAAAUCGACCGCCUGGGGAGUACGGUCGCAAGAUUAAAACUCAAAGGAAUUGACGGGGACCCGCACAAGCGGUGGAUGAUGUGGAUUAAUUCGAUGCAACGCGAAGAACCUUACCUGGCCUUGACAUGUACGGAACCCUCCAGAGACGGAGGGGUGCCUUCGGGAGCCGUAACACAGGUGCUGCAUGGCUGUCGUCAGCUCGUGUCGUGAGAUGUUGGGUUAAGUCCCGCAACGAGCGCAACCCUUGUCAUUAGUUGCCAUCAUUAAGUUGGGCACUCUAAUGAGACUGCCAGUGACAAGCCGGAGGAAGGUGGGGAUGACGUCAAGUCCUCAUGGCCCUUAUGACCAGGGCUUCACACGUCAUACAAUGGUCGGUACAGAGGGUAGCCAAGCCGCGAGGUGGAGCCAAUCUCACAAAACCGAUCGUAGUCCGGAUUGCACUCUGCAACUCGAGUGCAUGAAGUCGGAAUCGCUAGUAAUCGCAGGUCAGCAUACUGCGGUGAAUACGUUCCCGGGUCUUGUACACACCGCCCGUCACACCAUGGGAGUGGGGGAUACCAGAAGUAGGUAGGGUAACCGCAAGGAGCC
rnacentral:rRNA from 1 species